GUUUUAAUAGUUUAAUAAAAACCCUGGUCUUGUAAGCCAAAAAUGAAAAAUAAUUUCUUAAAGCU
rnacentral:tRNA from 1 species